rnacentral:rRNA from 1 species
CGGGGCUAAUACCGGAUGCUUGAUUGAACCGCAUGGUUCAAUCAUAAAAGGUGGCUUUUAGCUACCACUUGCAGAUGGACCCGCGGCGCAUUAGCUAGUUGGUGAGGUAACGGCUCACCAAGGCGACGAUGCGUAGCCGACCUGAGAGGGUGAUCGGCCACACUGGGACUGAGACACGGCCCAGACUCCUACGGGAGGCAGCAGUAGGGAAUCUUCCGCAAUGGACGAAAGUCUGACGGAGCAACGCCGCGUGAGUGAUGAAGGUUUUCGGAUCGUAAAACUCUGUUGUUAGGGAAGAACAAGUACCGUUCGAAUAGGGCGGUACCUUGACGGUACCUAACCAGAAAGCCACGGCUAACUACGUGCCAGCAGCCGCGGUAAUACGUAGGUGGCAAGCGUUGUCCGGAAUUAUUGGGCGUAAGCGCGCGCAGGCGGUUUCUUAAGUCUGAUGUGAAAGCCCCCGGCUCAACCGGGGAGGGUCAUUGGAAACUGGGGAACUUGAGUGCAGAAGAGGAGAGUGGAUUCCACGUGUAGCGGUGAAAUGCGUAGAGAUGUGGAGGAACACCAGUGGCGAAGGCGACUCUCUGGUCUGUAA